rnacentral:rRNA from 1 species
AUUGAACGCUGGCGGCAGGCCUAACACAUGCAAGUCGCACGGUAACAGGAAACAGCUUGCUGUUUCGCUGACGAGUGGCGGACGGGUGAGUAAUGUCUGGGAAACUGCCUGAUGGAGGGGGAUAACUACUGGAAACGGUAGCUGAUACCGCAUAACGUCGCAAGACCAAAGAGGGGGACCCUCGGGCCUCUUGCCAUCGGAUGUGCCCAGAUGGGAUUAGCUUGUUGGUGGGGUAACGGCUCACCAAGGCGACGAUCCCUAGCUGGUCUGAGAGGAUGACCAGCCACACUGGAACUGAGACACGGUCCAGACUCCUACGGGGGGCAGCAGUGGGGAAUAUUGCACAAUGGGCGCAAGCCUGAUGCAGCCAUGCCGCGUGUAUGGAGAAGGCCUUCGGGUUGUAAAGUACUUUCAGCGGGGAGGAAGGGAGUAAAGUUAAUACCUUUGCUCAUUGACGUUACCCGCAGAAGAAGCACCGGCUAACUCCGUGCCAGCAGCCGCGGUAAUACGGAGGGUGCAAGCGUUAAUCGGAAUUACUGGGCGUAAAGCGCACGUAGGCGGUUUGUUAAGUCAGAUGUGAAAUCCCCGGGCUCAACCUGGGAACUGCAUCUGAUACUGGCAAGCUUGAGUCUCGUAGAGGGGGGUAGAAUUCCAGGUGUAGCGGUGAAAUGCGUAGAGAUCUGGAGGAAUACCGGUGGCGAAGG